rnacentral:rRNA from 1 species
GACAGAGGGUGCAAACGUUGUUCGGAAUUACUGGGCGUAAAGCGCGUGUAGGCGGCCAACUAAGUCGGGCGUGAAAGCCCUCGGCUCAACUGAGGAAGUGCACCCGAAACUGGCGAGCUUGAGUACGAAAGAGGAUCGCGGAAUUCCCGGUGUAGAGGUGAAAUUCGUAGAUAUCGGGAGGAACACCGGUGGCGAAGGCGGCGAUCUGGGUCGAUACUGACGCUGAGGUGCGAAAGCGUGGGGAGCAAACAGG